GUCUUUGUGCAGUGACAGUAUCAUAGCUUAUGAGAAUUUUCUGGCGGGUGAUUAUUGCUAUUUGAAAACUUUACCCAAUACCCUGCUUUGAUGGCUGGAAACAUAGUGAGCUGUUGCAAAUUAUGGUAGUCUCCAUUGAGA